rnacentral:rRNA from 1 species
UACCCGCAGCUCAAGUGGUGGUCAUUAUUAUUGGGCCUAAAGCGUCCGUAGCUGGCCUGUUAGAUGCCUGGGUAAAUCGAUGCGCUCAACGUAUCGAACUCCGGGUAGACCGGCAGGCUCGAGACCGGGAGAGGUGUAGGCUACUCGCGGGGUAGGGGUAAAAUCCUGUAAUCCUGCGGGGAGGACCAGUGGCGAAGGUGCUACACUAGAACGGCUCUGACAGUGAGGGACGAAGCCCUGGGGCGCAAACCGG